rnacentral:rRNA from 1 species
AGCGAACGCUGGCGGCAGGCCUAACACAUGCAAGUCGAACGGAACUUCCGUGGUUAGUGGCGGUCGGGUGAGUAACACGGGGGAACGUGCCGUUAGGUUCCGAAUUCUUCAGUUUAGCUUGUGCUAAUACCGCUUGUGCUAUUCGGGGAAAAGAUUUAUCGCCUUUUGAGCGGCCCGCGACUGUUUAGCUAGUUGGUUGAGGAAAUGGCUCUCCAAGGCGAGGUUGAGUAGCUGGUCUGAGCGGAUGAUCAGCCACAUUGGGACUGAGACACGGCCCAAUCUCCGACGGGAGGCAGCAGUGGGGAAUAUUGCGCAAUGGGCGAAAGCCUGACGCAGCCAUGCCGCGUGAAUGAUGAAGGUCUUAGGAUUGUAAAAUUCUUUCACCGGGGACGAUAAUGACGGUACCCGGAGAAGAAGCCCCGGCUAACUUCGUG